rnacentral:rRNA from 1 species
AGCGAACGCUGGCGGCAGGCUUAACACAUGCAAGUCGAGCGGGCACUUCGGUGUCAGCGGCAGACGGGUGAGUAACACGUGGGAACGUACCCUUCGGUUCGGAAUAACGCUGGGAAACUAGCGCUAAUACCGGAUACGCCCUUUUGGGGAAAGGUUUACUGCCGAAGGGUCGGCCCGCGUCUGAUUAGCUAGUUGGUGGGGUAAUGGCCUACCAAGGCGACGAUCAGUAGCUGGUCUGAGAGGAUGAUCAGCCACACUGGGACUGAGACACGGCCCAGACUCCUACGGGAGGCAGCAGUGGGGAAUAUUGGACAAUGGGCGCAAGCCUGAUCCAGCCAUGCCGCGUGAGUGAUGAAGGCCUUAGGGUUGUAAAGCUCUUUUGUCCGGGACGAUAAUGACGGUACCGGAAGAAUAAGCCCCGGCUAACUUCGUG